rnacentral:rRNA from 1 species
CAGUAGCCACGGUAAUACGAAGGGGGCUAGCGUUGUUCGGAAUUACUGGGCGUAAAGCGCACGUAGGCGGAUAUUUAAGUCAGGGGUGAAAUCCCGCAGCUCAGCUGCGGAACUGCCUUUGAUACUGGGUAUCUUGAGUAUGGAAGAGGUUAGUGGAAUUGCGAGUGUAGAGGUGAAAUUCGUAGAUAUUCGCAGGAACACCAGUGGCGAAGGCGGCUAACUGGUCCAUAACUGACGCUGAGGUGCGAAAGCGUGGGGAGCAAACAGGAUUAGAUACCCCCGUAGUCCCUGUCUCUUAUAC